UACAGAGGUCUCAAGCGUUGUUCGGAUUCAUUGGGCGUAAAGGGUGCGUAGGCGGCGCGGUAAGUCGGGUGUGAAAUCUUGGAGCUUAACUCCAAAACUGCAUUCGAUACUGCCGUGCUUGAGGACUGGAGAGGAGACUGGAAUUUACGGUGUAGCGGUGAAAUGCGUAGAUAUCGUAAGGAAGACCAGUGGCGAAGGCGGGUCUCUGGACAGUUCCUGACGCUGAGGCACGAAGGUCAGGGGGGAGCAAACGGG
rnacentral:rRNA from 1 species